rnacentral:misc_RNA from 1 species
GAUGAAGAACGUAGCGAAAUGCGAUAAGUAAUGUGAAUUGCAGAAUUCAGUGAAUCAUCGAAUCUUUGAACGCACAUUGCGCCGGCCAGUAUUCUGGCGGGCAUGCCUGUUCGAGCGUCAUUUCAACCAUCAAGCCCCCGGCUUGUGUUGGGGACCUGCGGCUGCCGCAGGCCCUGAAAACCAGUGGCGGGCUCGCUAGUCACUCCGAGCGUAGUAAUACAUCUCGCUCAGGGCGUGCUGUGGGUUCCGGCCGUUAAAAAGCCUUAUUUACCCAAGGUUGACCUCGGAUCAGGUAGGAAGACCCGCUGAACUUAAGCAUAUCAAUAAGCGGAGGA